rnacentral:rRNA from 1 species
GAUGAACGCUGGCGGCGUGCUUGAUACAUGCAAGUCGAACGGUCGAGCAUAAAGAAGAAGGUAGUGAGCGGGUAGCGGGUGAGAAAUCAUUCAAAGCCCGUGAGCUACUGGGAGCUUGGCGCUUGGCAGUGGCGGACGGGUGAGUAACACGUAGGAAUCUGCCCCGAGGUGGGGAAUAACUGACCGAAAGGUUAGCUAAUACCGCAUAAGAUCCGAGAGGAUGAAAGGCGCGAGUCGCCUUGGGAUGAGCCUGCGUCCGAUUAGCUAGUUGGUGGGGUAACGGCCCACCAAGGCAGAGAUCGGUAGCUGAUCUGAGAGGAUGAUCAGCCACACUGGAACUGAGAAACGGUCCAGACUCC